AGUGAACGCUGGCGGUAGGCCUAACACAUGCAAGUCGAACGGCAGCACAGUAAGAGCUUGCUCUUACGGGUGGCGAGUGGCGGACGGGUGAGGAAUACAUCGGAAUCUACUUUUUCGUGGGGGAUAACGUAGGGAAACUUACGCUAAUACCGCAUACGACCUACGGGUGAAAUCAGGGGAUAUUCGGACCUUGCGCGAUUGAAUGAGCCGAUGUCGGAUUAGCUAGUUGGCGGGGUAAAGGCCCACCAAGGCGACGAUCCGUAGCUGGUCUGAGAGGAUGAUCGGCCACACUGGAACUGAGACACGGUCCAGACUCCUACGGGAGGCAGCAGUGGGGAAUAUUGGGCAAUGGGCGCAAGCCUGAUCCAGCCAUGCCGCGUGGGUGAAGAAGGCCUUCGGGUUGUAAAGCCCUUUUGUUGGGAAAGAAAAGCAGCAGGUUAAUACCCCGCUGUUCUGACGGUACCCAAAGAAUAAGCACCGGCUAACUUCGUG
rnacentral:rRNA from 1 species